rnacentral:rRNA from 1 species
AUUGAACGCUGGCGGCAGGCCUAACACAUGCAAGUCGAGCGAGAGGCGGACGGGUGAGUAAUGUCUGGGAAACUGCCCGCUUGAGGGGGAUAACUACUGGAAACGGUAGCUAAUACCGCAUAUUAUCGCAUGUGCCCAGAUGGGAUUCGCUAGUAGGUGGGGUAACGGCUCACCUAGGCGACGAUCCCUCGCUGGUCUGAGAGGAUGACCGGCCACACUGGAACUGGGACACGGCCCAGACUCCUACGGGAGGCAGCAGUGGGGAAUAUUGGACAAUGGGCGAAAGCCUGAUGCAGCCAUGCCGCGUGGGUGAAGAAGGCUUUCGGGUUGUAAAGCACUUUCUGCGGGGAGGCGGUACCCACAGAAGAAGCACCGGCUAACUCCGUGCCAGCAGCCGCGGUAAUUC